rnacentral:rRNA from 1 species
UGGGGAAUUUUGGACAAUGGGCGCAAGCCUGAUCCAGCCAUGCCGCGUGUCUGAAGAAGGCCUUCGGGUUGUAAAGGACUUUUGUCAGGGAAGAAAAGGCUGUUGCUAAUAUCAGCGGCUGAUGACGGUACCUGAAGAAUAAGCACCGGCUAACUACGUGCCAGCAGCCGCGGUAAUACGUAGGGUGCGAGCGUUAAUCGGAAUUACUGGGCGUAAAGCGAGCGCAGACGGUUACUUAAGCAGGAUGUGAAAUCCCCGGGCUCAACCUGGGAACUGCGUUCUGAACUGGGUGACUAGAGUGUGUCAGAGGGAGGUAGAAUUCCACGUGUAGCAGUGAAAUGCGUAGAGAUGUGGAGGAAUACCGAUGGCGAAGGCAGCCUCCUGGGAUAACACUGACGUUCAUGCUCGAAAGCGUGGGUAGCAAACAGGAUUAGAUACCCUGGUAGUCCACGCCCUAAACGAUGUCAAUUAGCUGUUGGGCAACUUGAUUGUUCAGUAGCGUAGCUAACGCGUGAAAUUGACCGCCUGGGGAGUACGGUCGCAAGANUA